UCAAAUAGUAACCAAAAAAUUUCAUUUUGUAACCAAAAAAUCAAAUUAAAAUUUUAAAAGGGAAGGGCAAUAUUGUCAACCCACAAAGCCAAAGGGGAAAGUGGCUGAAAAAUUCAGUCUCAAUUCAGUUGACUCCUAAACACACAAAAUGGGAAAUAAUUUCUCAGUUGAAUCUCCAUCUUUGGCGCCGUUCCUGUGUGGGAAACGCAAGUAUUUAUACAACCUGGAGAGAAAUCUAGAGGCUUUGCAUAAAGUAAUGCAAGACCUCAACGCAAUGAGAAACGAUCUGUUGAAGAGGCUGUCGAAAGAGGAGGAGAUAGGUCUACAAGGGCUACAAGAAGUCAAAGAGUGGAUUUCAAUGGUGGAAGAGAUUGAACCUAAAGCCAAUCGGCUGCUUGAUGAAAGUGUCUCUGAAAUUCAGAGACUAUCAAGGUACGGCUAUUGUUCUCUGAUCCCUGCGUCGACCUAUCGUUACAGUGAAAAGGUACUUACGACUAUGGAAGGAGUUGAAACUCUGAGAUCUAAGGGAGUCUUCGAAGCUGUCGUUCACAGAGCUCUUCCGCCUCUUGUGAUAAAGAUGCCUCCAAUUCAACUUACUGUUUCUCAAGCAAAGUUGCUUGAUACGGCAUGGGCUCGUCUAAUGGACAUAAAUGUUGGGACUUUGGGUAUUUAUGGUAGGGGUGGAGUAGGCAAAACCACCCUUCUUACUAAACUCAGAAACAAGUUACUUGUAGAUGCAUUUGGUCUUGUGAUCUUUGUUGUUGUGGGGUUUGAAGAGGUCGAGAGCAUACAGGAUGAAAUUGGUAAAAGAUUAGGCCUCCAAUGGAGAAGAGAAACCAAAGAGCGCAAGGCAGCUGAAAUAUUGGCAGUCUUAAAGGAGAAGAGAUUUGUGUUGUUACUGGAUGGCAUACAGAGGGAAUUGGAUCUUGAGGAAAUUGGAGUUCCUUUUCCCAGCCGAGAUAAUGGAUGCAAAAUUGUAUUCACCACUCAAUCUCUGGAAGCAUGUGACGAAAGCAAGUGGGUUGAUGCUAAGGUAGAAAUUACAUGUUUGAGCCCGGAAGAAGCAUGGGAUUUGUUUCAAGAGACUGUCGGAGAGAACACGUUGAGAAGUCAUCAAGACAUACCUAAGCUCGCAAGAGUAGUUGCUAGUACAUGCCGUGGUUUGCCCCUUGCUCUUAAUCUCAUUGGUGAGGCCAUGUCAGGAAAAAGGACUGUACGCGAAUGGCGUUACACAAUUCAUGUCUUGGCUUCAUCCACAGCCGAAUUUCCAGAUAUGGAAGAUGGGACUCUUCCCAUUUUAAAGUCUAUCUAUGAUAAUAUGAGUGAUGAGAUCAUCAGGUUAUGCUUCCUUUAUUGUGCUCUGUUUCCAGAAAAUUUGGAUAUAGGAAAAGAAGAUCUGGUAAACUACUGGAUAUGCGAGGGAAUCCUUGCAAAAGAAGAUAGAGAGGAAGCUGAGAUCCAGGGAUAUGAAAUUAUCUGUGAUUUGGUUAGGAUGCGAUUGUUGAUGGAGAGUGGAAAUGGAAAUUGUGUAAAGAUGCAUGGUAUGGUUCGUGAAAUGGCCUUGUGGAUAGCAUCUGAACACUUUGUUGUGGUAGGCGGUGAGAGAAUACAUCAGAUGCUAAAUGUCAAUGACUGGCGGAUGAUUAGAAGAAUGUCAGUGACGUCUACUCAAAUUCAGAAUAUAUCAGAUUCUCCCCAGUGUUCCGAGCUUACAACCCUGGUCUUUCGAAGAAACCGACACUUAAAAUGGAUCUCAGGUGCUUUCUUUCAGUGGAUGACAGGACUUGUAGUCUUGGAUCUAUCAUUUAAUAGAGAACUUGCUGAGUUGCCGGAAGAAGUUUCAAGCCUGGUGUUGCUGCGGUUUCUCAACUUAUCAUGGACAUGUAUAAAAGGAUUGCCCCUUGGUUUAAAAGAGCUUAAGAGUUUGAUACACUUGGAUUUGGAUUACACAUCUAAUCUUCAAGAAGUUGACGUGAUAGCAAGUUUAUUGAAUUUGCAAGUACUGAGAUUAUUUCAUUCUGUUUCUAUGGAUCUCAAGUUAAUGGAGGAUAUCCAACUUUUGAAGAGCCUGAAAGAGUUGAGUCUAACAGUGAGAGGAUCUUCUGUUUUGCAGCGGUUACUAAGUAUCCAGCGAUUAGCAAGUUCUAUCCGACGUUUACAUCUAACUGAAACUACAAUAGUCGAUGGAGGAAUAUUAUCGUUGAAUGCUAUAUUCAGUCUUUGUGAGCUUGAUAUUUUGGGAUGUAA
rnacentral:sRNA from 1 species